GGGCCGGUACAGUGACCGGGUCGUCAUCACACCCGUACGAGGGGAAGCCGGUGCAAAACCGGCGCUGACCCGCAACCGUGAGCCGUCCGCCGGGCGGUGAGCCGGACUGCCUCGUCCGGGACGUGACC
rnacentral:ncRNA from 1 species